GAGUUUGAUCCUGGCUCAGAUUGAACGCUGGCGGCAGGCUUAACACAUGCAAGUCGAACGGUAACAUGAGUGCUUGCACUUGAUGACGAGUGGCGGACGGGUGAGUAAAGUAUGGGGAUCUGCCGAAUGGAGGGGGACAACAGUUGGAAACGACUGCUAAUACCGCAUAAAGUUGAGAGACCAAAGCAUGGGACUUACGGGCCAUGCGCCAUUCGAUGAGCCCAUAUGGGAUUAGCUAGUUGGUAGGGUAAUGGCUUACCAAGGCGACGAUCUCUAGCUGGUCUGAGAGGAUGACCAGCCGCACUGGAACUGAGACACGGUCCAGACUCCUACGGGAGGCAGCAGUGGGGAAUAUUGCACAAUGGGGGGAACCCUGAUUCAGCCAUGCCGCGUGUAUGAAGAAGGCCUUCGGGUUGUAAAGUACUUUCGGUGAUGAGGAAGGUGGUGUAUCUAAUAGGUGCAUCAAUUGACGUUAAUUACAGAAGAAGCACCGGCUAACUCCGUGCCAGCAGCCGCGGUAAUACGGAGGGUGCGAGCGUUAAUCGGAAUGACUGGGCGUAAAGGGCAUGUAGGCGGAUAAUUAAGUUAGGUGUGAAAGCCCUGGGCUCAACCUAGGAAUUGCACUUAAAACUGGUUAACUAGAGUAUUGUAGAGGAAGGUAGAAUUCCACGUGUAGCGGUGAAAUGCGUAGAGAUGUGGAGGAAUACCGGUGGCGAAGGCGGCCUUCUGGACAGAUACUGACGCUGAGAUGCGAAAGCGUGGGGAGCAAACAGGAUUAGAUACCCUGGUAGUCCACGUUGUAAACGAUGUCAAUUUGGAGUUUGUUGCCUAGAGUGAUGGGCUCCGAAGCUAACGCGAUAAAUCGACCGCCUGGGGAGUACGGCCGCAAGGUUAAAACUCAAAUGAAUUGACGGGGGCCCGCACAAGCGGUGGAGCAUGUGGUUUAAUUCGAUGCAACGCGAAGAACCUUACCUGGUCUUGACAUCCACAGAAUCUUGCAGAGAUGCGAGAGUGCCUUCGGGAACUGUGAGACAGGUGCUGCAUGGCUGUCGUCAGCUCGUGUUGUGAAAUGUUGGGUUAAGUCCCGCAACGAGCGCAACCCUUAUCCUUUGUUGCCAUUGGUUAGGCCGGGAACUCAAAGGAGACUGCCGUUGAUAAAGCGGAGGAAGGUGGGGACGACGUCAAGUCAUCAUGGCCCUUACGACCAGGGCUACACACGUGCUACAAUGGCGUAUACAAAGGGAGGCGA
rnacentral:rRNA from 1 species